UUGUGCUAAGGUAGCAUAAUCAUUUGUCUUUUAAUUAAAGACUAGAACAAAAGAUUUAACAAUUCAAUAAAUAUAUAAAAUUAAUUAUACUAAUUUAUUUUAAAUGUAAAAAAACAUUUAUAACAUAAGAAGACGACAAGACCCUAUUAAACUUAACUGAAGUUAAACUGGGGCAGUUAAUAAAUCAUUAUUUUAAUAAAAAUAUAACAAAAAAAGAUCCAAUAAAAAUGAAUAUAUGAUCAAGUUACUAUAGGGAUAACAGCGUAAUAUUUAUCUAAAGAUCUUAUUUAAAUAAAAGAUUGCGACCUCGAUGUUGAAUUAAUAACCUAAAUUAUUGCAGCAAAUAAAUAAAGGUAGUC
rnacentral:rRNA from 1 species